rnacentral:tRNA from 1 species
GCAUUAGUGGUUCAAUGGUAGAACUCUCCCAUUCCAUGCAGGAGUCUUGAGUUCGAUUCUCAGCCAAUGCA